GACGAACGCAGGCGGCGUGCUUAACACAUGCAAGUCGAACGGAAAGGCCCUGCUUUUGUGGGGUGCUCGAGUGGCGAACGGGUGAGUAACACGUGAGUAACCUGCCCUUGACUUUGGGAUAACUUCAGGAAACUGGGGCUAAUACCGGAUAGGAGCUCCUGCUGCAUGGUGGGGGUUGGAAAGUUUCGGCGGUUGGGGAUGGACUCGCGGCUUAUCAGCUUGUUGGUGGGGUAGUGGCUUACCAAGGCUUUGACGGGUAGCCGGCCUGAGAGGGUGACCGGCCACAUUGGGACUGAGAUACGGCCCAGACUCCUACGGGAGGCAGCAGUGGGGAAUAUUGCACAAUGGGCGGAAGCCUGAUGCAGCAACGCCGCGUGCGGGAUGACGGCCUUCGGGUUGUAAACCGCUUUCGCCUGUGACGAAGCGUGAGUGACGGUAAUGGGUAAAGAAGCACCAGCUAACUACGUG
rnacentral:rRNA from 1 species